rnacentral:tRNA from 1 species
GGCGUGGUAGACAAAUUGGUAAAGUCACCUGACUUUCAAUCAGGCGCAGAGUAUUCUGCUUGAGGGUUCAAGCCCCUUCCACGUCA